rnacentral:rRNA from 1 species
CCUACGGGAGGCAGCAGUGGGGAAUAUUGGACAAUGGGCGGAAGCCUGAUCCAGCAACGCCGCGUGAGGGAUGACGGCCUUCGGGUUGUAAACCUCUUUCAGUAGGGACGAAGCGCAAGUGACGGUACCUACAGAAGAAGCAUCGGCCAACUACGUGCCAGCAGCCGCGGUAAU